rnacentral:rRNA from 1 species
AGUGAACGCUGGCGGCAGGCCUAAUACAUGCAAGUCGAACGGCAGCACAGCAGAGCUUGCUCUGUGGGUGGCGAGUGGCGGACGGGUGAGGAAUACAUGGGAAUCUGCCCAGUCGUGGGGGAUAACGUAGGGAAACUUACGCUAAUACCGCAUGCGCCCUUCGGGGGAAAGCCGGGGACCUUCGGGCCUGGCGCGAUUGGAUGAGCCCAUGUCGGAUUAGCUAGUUGGCGGGUAAUGGCCCACCAAGGCGACGAUCCGUAGCUGGUCUGGAGAGGAU